CACGUUGUCUAUUUUUACGGAAUUCCAACGGGGAAUUAUUGGCAAGGAUCCGGAUAACCAACGGGGUUAGAACCGGGAAUUAUCUUUGGGUUUCAUACAGUCCAUUAUAAUAACGAAUAACCUUUUUAACAUCGCGUUGUGGCAGAUCGUCUUAUCACAUUCAAAAGUCACAAUGUGCACAGUGUGGAUACCCAGCUAAGAAGAUGCGCUCCUGAAAGUUUCUCAAAUAAAACAAAAUCCUUAAACACUAGUACACAGAAGUGACAAAUAGAUUCAGUUUGAUUGGUUUUGAGAGGGGAAUGCAUCGUAAUUUUGAUUAUUUUCAUCAGACAACUGGUUCAUCAAAGCCAAGAGGAGGAAGACCACUGGCACUGGACGUAUGCGUCACCUUAAGAUCGUUCGUCGCAAUUUCAACAAUGAAUUCAGGGAGGGACUUCCAAAACCGAAAGCAGUCGCCACCAAAUAAAUGAUUCUAUAAUGAGCAUCUGUUUUACUUUAAUAAAGAUCAUGAAAUUUUGUAAAGCAAAUAUCGUAAUUAUUCAUU